AGUGAACGUUGGCGGCGUGGAUUAGGCAUGCAAGUCGAGCGAGAACCGUAGCAAUACGGGGACAGCGGCGAAAGGGGCAGUAAUGUGUAGGUACCUACCUCCGGGUUCGGGAUAGCUGCGGGAAACUGCAGGUAAUACCGAAUAACGUCUCCGGACCAAAGGUGUGAUUCCACCUGGAGAGGGGCCUGCAUCCUAUUAGCUUGUUGGCGGGGUAACGGCCCACCAAGGCGACGAUGGGUAGCGGGUGUGAGAGCACGACCCGCGUCAUUGGGACUGAGACACUGCCCAGACACCUACGGGUGGCUGCAGUCGUGAAUCUUCGGGAAUGGGCGCAAGCCUGACCGAGCGACGCCGCGUGCGGGAUGAAGGCCUUCGGGUUGUAAACCGCUGUCGUAGAGGAGGAAAUGCAGGGGGGUUCUCCCCUCUGUUUGACCUAUUCUAGGAGGAAGUACGGGCUAAGUUCGUGCCAGCCGCCGCCGUAA
rnacentral:rRNA from 1 species